UACGUAGGGUGCAAGCGUUGUCCGGAAUUAUUGGGCGUAAAGAGCUCGUAGGCGGUUUGUCACGUCGGCCGUGAAAACUCGGGGCUCAACCCCGAGCCUGCGGUCGAUACGGGCAGACUAGAGUGCUGUAGGGGAGAUUGGAAUUCCUGGUGUAGCGGUGAAAUGUGCAGAUAUCAGGAGGAACACCGGUGGCGAAGGCGGGUCUCUGGGCAGUAACUGACGAUGAGGAGCGAAAGCGUGGGGAGCAAACAGG
rnacentral:rRNA from 1 species